UAUGUCUCCUGUUCUGGAAGCUGGAAGUCCGAGAUCUUAGGUGUUGGCAUCUGGGAGAAUUCUCUUCCUGGUUUACAGGAUGGCGACCUUCUCGCUGUGUCCUCACAUGGUAAUGAGAGUCAAAAAGAACUCUCUCCAAUUUCUUCCUCUUCUUUUGAGGGCACUAAUCCAACUGUAGUCCUUCUCCAGGACUCAUUGCCCCAGGCCUUCCCAGUGGGGGAGGGCAUGUGGCAAGGCCCUGAGGGCUCUGUUUCCUGCCUCUUUGCAGAGAGGUCUUGCUUGGUCCAGGAAUCACACUGGAGUCUGUGGUGUCCCAGAAAACCCCGCACAGCCUGCUUUCGGAAAGAGAAGAGCUUCCACUUCCUCCUACACAGGCAGCCCAGAGAGGAAACCCAAAGCCCAGAAAACCAACUGAAGAGAAGGUGUGGAGGACGGAUGGAUGUUCCUUGCCCCCCUCCAAACCGCUGGGGAGACAGCAGACCCCGUGUGCCCACCUGACCAUGAAUCAAACACUGUAAAUAUCUCUUCGGUCUUUCAGUGGCUGGUCUCAGAAGCAUUUCUGGUUUUAAUCUUUUGGCAUGUAAGCGUGCAGCAGAUGUGAAGCCGGCUUUCCUCAUUUAGGACCUGAUGAAUUAUUUUGUACUCCAGGACCACUGGGAGAUGGGACACGAAAGCAGUUUCCUACCCCACCCCCAUGUCAUACAACAGAGAAUGGCUUGUUUUUCUUUUCACACGUCAAGCCGUCAGUGACUGUGUUGAGGUUUGGGUCAGAAGUUUUUCAUCUAAUCAUCCAAUUCUGAAAUGGUCAGAUUUAAGGCUGCAAAGGCUCAUGGUCAAAGUCUUCCUGGACCGAGUAAUUCUUUAUGAUGCUGUGACUAAGUCGGGAUACAAGAGCAGGUGGGAACCUACGAGUGCCCCCUGGGCUGGAUGAAGAGGACACUGCUUGCCUUCUGUUGGUGGUGGGGUGAACAUCAGGACAUCACAGGAUGGUCCUGGAUAAACCCCAGCCACCCUCAGCCCAGCUCCGGGCCAUGGCUUGUGAGUAGUGGCAGAAUUUACAGGCAGUGACCGCCCUGGGAAGGAGAAGUAGGAGGAUGAUACCCAGAGCUGACACCCCACAUCCUGGCCACCACCAAGAAGCCAACCCUAGAGACUAACACUGUAGAACAAAACACAACCCUUGCUUGGCCUGGCACCGAGCGCCUUCUUCAUAUACCUUGUUUUCUUGUUUUUCUUCCAUCCAUUCCUCUCACUUCCACUUUUGCAUUAGUUAAGGCAAGCUAAGCCCCAAUAACACAUAGGCCCCUAACUGUUGUGACUCAAAUAUAGUGGCCAUCCAGGAGAGUGCUGUUGACCACAUAUCUGGUCCUUGUCUCUUCUGGUAGAUAGAGGUUCCGGUGGUUCCGUCACCCCAGAGGGCUUUGUUGUCAUAAUCAUCCAGUUGGCAGAAGGGGAAAGAGAACAUGCAGGACAGAAACCCACCCACUUAAAAGCCCCAGGGCGGAAGCAGCCCAUGGCUCCUCCACUCCUAUCCCCUAACCCGGACUGGGUCACCUGGUCCCGUGGAACUGCACAGGUGUGUGGGGAAUGCUGUCAGUCCCUGCUAUAGAAAUUAGGGAUAGAUUUUGUUGCUGCCUCAGUCCAUUUGGAUGGCUAUAACUGAACACCUCAGCCUGGGUGGCUUAUAAACAAUGCACAUUUAUUUCUCACAGUUCUGGAGGCUGGAAGUCCUAGAUGAAGGUGCCACAGAUUCUGUGUCUUGUGAGAACCCACUUCCUGGUUCAUAGACAUGAACCUCACAUAACGCUGGGUCCUCACAACACAGAAGGGGCAAAGGGGGCUCUCUGGGGUCUCUUCUGUGAGGGCCCUAAUCC